rnacentral:rRNA from 1 species
CCUACGGGUGGCAGCAGUGAGGAAUAUUGGUCAAUGGGCGUAAGCCUGAACCAGCCAAGUCGCGUGAGGGAUGAAGGUUCUAUGGAUCGUAAACCUCUUUUAUAAGGGAAUAAUGUGUGGGACGUGUCCUAUUUUGUAUGUACCUUAUGCAUAAGGAUCGGCUAACUCCGUUCCAGCAGCCGCGGUAAUACGGAGUAUCCGAGCGUUAACCGGAUUUGUUGGGUUUAAAGGGUGCGUAGGCGGCCUUUUCAGUCAGCGGUGAAAGUCUGUGGCUCAACCAUAGAAUUGCCGUUGAAACUGGGGGGCUUGAGUAUGUUAGAGGCAGGCGGAAUGCGUGGUGUAGCGGUGAAAUGCUUAGAUAUCACGCAGAACCCCGAUGGCGAAGGCAGCCUGCCAAGCCAUGACUGACGCUGAUGCACGAAAGCGUGGGGAUCAAACAGGAUUAGAUACCCCAGUAGUC